GUGUUUAUUUCUCAUGAUGACGUUCGUUACACCAAGUCUGAAGCCCGAGGGCGUGCCCGAAGGCGGUUCACAGGUUUUGAAUGGCAUGCCCGGAGGCUCUCUAAUGAUCCUUCCGCAGGUUCACCUACGGAAA
rnacentral:misc_RNA from 1 species